CGGAAAUGCUUCGUGCCCAGGUGGUUGCAAUACGACAACUUGGUCGGUAAGGGCAAGCACCGGCCAGCCGAUGGAGACAAUCCAGGCAACCUGAAGAAUGGAUGAUAGCACCCAGGGUUGGAAAGGAUGGCCAACCAUUAGAAUAAAAUUGGGAAGUAUAAGGAUACAUCUCUGAUGACCAUUUUCAGCACAAAACAUGUUUAAAUCAAAAUGUUUUGCACAACCUGGAAGAUGGUGGGUCUGUAAUUCAUUCACAGUCUGCAAUAACUGGAGCCACGUGCAAAAAUAAUACAGAUUAAGCCAUAAUGCAACUGAUUUGCAUACCAUCGGAACCUGGAUCAAGUUACGAUUAAAGCAGACAGCAUAAAUGCAAUUUGCCACCAUGCCUUGAUAUUGAUCAGGAAACCUAUGUGGAUCUGGAUCAAGAGAAACGCUUUGUUUUGCAACCCAGAAGCAUAAUUUCCUCCAGAAACAUUUCAGCUAUGAAGCACUGCAAUCUUGAUCCUUAUCCGAGCUCAAAUCUAGUAGCGAGAUCAUUCUGACACAGCACAGCAACAACGUGCCAGUCUGCAACGGAGUUUAUUAUCUCUAUAUUAAUAAAGCCUGCAAUGACAUAGAUGGCUUUGGGCCAGUCGCUCUCUCUUCC